UACGUAGGUGGCAAGCGUUGUCCGGAUUUAUUGGGUUUAAAGGGUGCGUAGGCGGCCCUGUAAGUCAGUUGCUGAAAUAUCCCAGCUUAACUGGGAGGGUGGGCAUUGAUACUGCGGGGCUAGAGUACAGAUGAGGUAGGCGGAAUUGACGGGUGUAGCGGUGAAAUGCGUAGAUAUCGGGAGGAACACCCGCGGUGUAGACGGCCUGCUGGACCACGACUGACGCUGAGGCACGAAAGCGUGGGGAGCAAACAGG
rnacentral:rRNA from 1 species